rnacentral:rRNA from 1 species
GACGAACGCUGGCGGCGUGCCUAAUACAUGCAAGUAGGACGCAGUUGCGAACGGGUGAGUAACGCGUAGGCCACUGCCUAUUAGAGGGUGAUAACUAUUGGAAACGAUAGCUAAUACCGCAUACCAGUUGAUGGACCUGCGUUGUAUUAGGUAGUCGGUAGGGUAAUGGCCGCCCUAGGCGACGGUACAUAGCCGAGCAGUGAGGGAGAUCUGCCCCAAUGGGAAUGCGACCAGGCCCAGAAUCCUACGGGAGGCAGCCGUAGGGAAACUUCGGCAAUGGGGGGAACCCUGACCGAGCACAGCCGCGUGAGUGGAGAAGGUUUUCGGAUCGUAAAGCUCUGUUGUUAAGGAAGCGGUACUUAACCAGGAAGGGACGGCUAACUACGUGCCAGCAGCCGCGGUAAUAC